GCCACGGUAGAGCCAGCCAAUGGUUGUACAGGUAAAAGGGAAACUGGGAAGUCUGCAAAGAAACCUGAUAAAGGAAGGACUGCAAAGGAGGAGGCACGUGAGUUACAACUUAGGGAG